rnacentral:rRNA from 1 species
UAAUACGUAGGGAGCAAGCGUUGUUCGGAAUUAUUGGGCGUAAAGAGCGCGUAGGCGGUUUGGUAAGUCUGGUGUGAAAUCCCGGAGCUUAACUCCGGAACUGCAUUGGAUACUGCCAGGCUUGAGUGUGGGAGAGGAGAGUGGAAUUCCCAGUGUAGAGGUGAAAUUCGUAGAUAUUGGGAGGAACACCCGUGGCGAAGGCGGCUCUCUGGACCACAACUGACGCUGAGGCGCGAAAGCUAGGGGAGCAAACGGGAUUAGAUACCCCGGUAGUCCUAGCCGUAAACGAUGGGCACUAGGUGUUGGAGGUAUCGACCCCUCCAGUGCCGCAGCUAACGCAUUAAGUGCCCCGCCUGGGGAGUACGGUCGCAAGACUAAAACUUAAAGGAAUUGACGG